CCAGGAGAUCAGGAACACAUUAUAGAAGAGGUAUGAGAUCCAGGGGAUGAGGAACACAUUAUAGAAGAGGUAUGAGAUCCAGGGGAUCAGGAACACAUUAUAGAAGAGGUAUGAGAUCCAGGGGAUGAGGAACACAUUAUAGAAGAGGUAUGAGAUCCAGGGGAUCAGGAACACAUUAUAGAAGAGGUAUGAGAUCCAGGGGAUGAGGAACACAUUAUAGAAGAGGAAUGAGAUCCAGGGGAUCAGAAACACAUUAUAGAAGAGGUCUGAGAUCCAGGGGAUCAGGAACACAUUAUAGAAGAGGUCUGAGAUCCAGGGGAU